rnacentral:rRNA from 1 species
GGAUUAGAUACCCUGGUAGUCCACGCCCUAAACUAUGGAUACUAGACGUAAGAGGUAUCGACCCCUCUUGUGUCGCAGCUAACGCAUUAAGUAUCCCGCCUGGGGAGUACGGCCGCAAGGUUGAAACUCAAAUGAAUUGACGGGGACCCGCACAAGCGGUGGAGCAUGUGGAUUAAUUCGAUACUAACCGAAGAACCUUACCCAGGUUUGACAUCGAUCGCAACUCCCUGAAAGGGGAGCCUCUCCACAAGAGACGUGAAGACACUUGUUGCAUGGCUGUCGUCAGCUCGUGCCG